rnacentral:rRNA from 1 species
UGGAAGCACAGCAAUGUGUGUAGCUGACUGGUACUAAUACACCGAUCACUCACACACA